rnacentral:rRNA from 1 species
GGGUGCGGAGGAAAAGAAACCAACAGGGAUUGCCCCAGUAACGGCGAGUGAAGCGGCAAGAGCUCAAAUUUGAAAUCUGGCCUCCCCCGGGGGUCCGAGUUGUAAUUUGCAGAGGAUGCUUCGGGCGCGGCCCCCGUCUAAGUUCCUUGGAACAGGACGUCAGAGAGGGUGAGAAUCCCGUCUUGGGCGGGCGGCCCGCGCCCGUGUGAAGCUCCUUCGACGAGUCGAGUUGUUUGGGAAUGCAGCUCUAAGCGGGUGGUAAAUUUCAUCUAAAGCUAAAUACCGGCCGGAGACCGAUAGCGCACAAGUAGAGUGAUCGAAAGGUUAAAAGCACCUUGAAAAGGGAGUUAAACAGCACGUGAAAUUGUUGAAAGGGAAGCGCUUGCGGCCAGACUCGGGGGGCGGGGUUCAGCGGGCGCUCGUCGCCCGUGCACUGCCCGCUCCCCGGGCCAGCAUCAGCUUCGACGGCCGGUCAAAGGCCCCCGGAAUGUGUCGUCUCUAGGGACGUCUUAUAGCCGGGGGUGCAAUGCGGCCCGUCGAGACUGAGGAACGCGCUCCGGCUCGGAUGCUGGCGUAAUGGCCGUAAGCGGCCCGCUGAA